rnacentral:rRNA from 1 species
AGAGUUUGAUCCUGGCUCAGGAUGAACGCUGGCGGCGUGCUUAACACAUGCAAGUCGAACGAGGUCCAUGGAGCUUGCUCCGGAAGGCCUAGUGGCGAACGGGUGCGUAACACGUGAGAAACCUGCCCCGAUCUCUGGGAUAACAGUUGGAAACGACUGCUAAUACCGGAUGCCGUCCCACCGCUUCAUGGCGGAGUGACGAAAGAUUCAUCGGAUCGGGAGGGUCUCGCGGCCUAUCAGCUAGUUGGAGAGGUAACGGCUCACCAAGGCAUCGACGGGUAGCUGGUCUGAGAGGAUGAUCAGCCACACUGGGACUGAGACACGGCCCAGACUCCUACGGGAGGCAGCAGUGGGGAAUCUUGCACAAUGGGCGAAAGCCUGAUGCAGCAACGCCGCGUGCGGGAUGAAGGCCCUAGGGUUGUAAACCGCUUUCAGUAGGGAAGAAAAUGACGGUACCUACAGAAGAAGGUGCGGCCAACUACGUGCCAGCAGCCGCGGUGACACGUAGGCACCAAGCGUUAUCCGGAUUUAUUGGGCGUAAAGAGCUCGUAGGCGGUUCGGUAAGUCGGGUGUAAAAACUCUGGGCUCAACCCAGAGAGGCCAUCCGAUACUGCUGUGACUAGAGUGCGGUA